CGGUGAGCUUCUUCUCUUUUACAACCAUUUUUUCUUCUUUUCAUGUUUGAUCAUCGAUUUUUAGUUGUUUCCUGCAUUUUUUCCCUUCACACACUGACAGCCAAUGAUCAAAAUGACUGGAAUUGAUGUGCACAAACUGGUCUAAAAUAAAUAUCCUUUUUUUCCCUUCACACAUGACAGACAAUGAUCAAAAGAGUUUUAAUAUUUCAAUCUCUAAUUUAUGAUGAAACAAGAAGAAAAAUCUUACAGAAGAUUGGAAUCCUUUGUUAUAAGGUUUUUUAAAAUCUUACAGCAAUUGAAAGUUUUUACAUAUAUUAACAACAACCCACUUAGCAACAUCUAUGGAGU
rnacentral:lncRNA from 1 species